UUAACUCGAAUUUGUAUGGAGUUGGAACGUUUGCCUACGUUUGCCGCUAGGGGCGCUGUUCCAACUCCAUACAAAUUUGAGUUA
rnacentral:pre_miRNA from 1 species